AAAGAGUCGCAUGUUCCUCCUCCCGAACCUUACUUAGGGGACCACGGUUCUUCCCACGGGUGGAAUAUGCCAACAACCCUACACACCAUUUCCGCCACAGAUAUGUGACUCCCUUUCUGGUCCAGUCUGUGUGGAAGGACAUCUUAGCUGCUUUAACUCGAUCGACCGAGAAAAAUAAGUGGCUGACGGAUCAUCAAUAUCCUACUCCAGAAUACAAGUGUAAAGCGGCGUGCCUCCCUUCCCUGCCUGCCUCCCCAGCCACGCUACCAAGCCAC